AGAGUUUGAUCCUGGCUCAGAACGAACGCUGGCGGCGUGCUUAACACAUGCAAGUCGAACGGGAUCCAGAGCUUGCUCUGGUGAGAGUGGCGCACGGGUGAGUAACGCGUGGAUAACCUGCCCUGGUAUCCGGAAUAACAUCUCGAAAGGGGUGCUAAUACCGGAUAAGCCUACGGAGCCCUCGGUCUCUGCAGGAAAAGGUGGCUUCUAUUUAUAAGCUACCGUAUCAGGAUGGGUCCGCGUACCAUUAGCUAGUUGGUGGGGUAAUGGCCUACCAAGGCGACGAUGGUUAGCUGGUCUGAGAGGAUGAUCAGCCACACUGGAACUGAGACACGGUCCAGACUCCUACGGGAGGCAGCAGUGGGGAAUUUUGCGCAAUGGGGGAAACCCUGACGCAGCAACGCCGCGUGAGUGAUGAAGGCUUUCGGGUCGUAAAGCUCUGUCAGAGGGGAAGAAAUGAGAUUGGCUAAUAUCCAAUUUUCUUGACGGUACCCUCAAAGGAAGCACCGGCUAACUCCGUGCCAGCAGCCGCGGUAA
rnacentral:rRNA from 1 species